UACGGAGGGGGCUAGCGUUGCUCGGAAUCACUGGGCGUAAAGGGUGCGUAGGCGGAUCUUUAAGUCAGGGGUGAAAUCCUGGAGCUCAACUCCAGAACUGCCUUUGAUACUGAGGAUCUCGAGUUCGGGAGAGGUGAGUGGAACUGCGAGUGUAGAGGUGAAAUUCGUAGAUAUUCGCAAGAACACCAGUGGCGAAGGCGGCUCACUGGCCCGAUACUGACGCUGAGGCACGAAAGCGUGGGGAGCAAACAGG
rnacentral:rRNA from 1 species